rnacentral:rRNA from 1 species
AGUGAACGCUGGCGGUAUGCCUAACACAUGCAAGUCGAACGGCAGCACAGUAAGAGCUUGCUCUUACAGUUGGCGAGUGGCGGACGGGUGAGGCAUACAUCGGAAUCUACUUUUUCUUGGGGGAUAACGUAGGGAAACUUACGCUAAUACCGCAUACGAUCUACGGGUUAAAGCAGGGGAUCUUCAGACCUUUCGCGAUUGAAUGAGCCGAUGUCGGAUUAGCUAGUUGGCUUGGUAAAGGCCCACCAAGGCAACGAUCCGUAGCUGGUCUGAGAGGAUGAUCAGCCACACUGGAACUGAGACACGGUCCAGACUCCUACGGGAGGCAGCAGUGGGGAAUAUUGGACAAUGGGCGAAAGCCUGAUCCAGCCAUACCGCGUGGGUGAAGAAGGCCUUCGGGUUGUAAAGCCCUUUUGUUGGGAAAGAAAAGAAGCAGGUUAAUACCCCGAUGUUCUGACGGUACCCAAAGAAUAAGCACCGGCUAACUUCGUG